rnacentral:rRNA from 1 species
AUUGAACGCUGGCGGCAGGCCUAACACAUGCAAGUCGAGCGCGAAAACACUUCGGUGUGAGUAGAGCGGCGGACGGGUGAGUAAUGCUUGGGAAUCUGCCCAGUAGUGGGGGAUAACGUGUGGAAACGCACGCUAAUACCGCAUACGUCCUACGGGAGAAAGCAGGGGAUCUUCGGACCUUGCGCUAUUGGAUGAGCCCAAGUCAGAUUAGCUAGUUGGUGGGGUAAUGGCCUACCAAGGCGACGAUCUGUAGCUGGUCUGAGAGGAUGAUCAGCCACACUGGGACUGAGACACGGCCCAGACUCCUACGGGAGGCAGCAGUGGGGAAUAUUGGACAAUGGGCGGAAGCCUGAUCCAGCCAUGCCGCGUGUGUGAAGAAGGCUCUAGGGUUGUAAAGCACUUUCAGUAGGGAGGAAAAGCUUAAGGUUAAUAACCUUGAGCCCUGACGUUACCUACAGAAGAAGCACCGGCAAACUCCGUGCCAGCAGCCGCGGUAAUACGGAGGGUGCGAGCGUUAAUCGGAAUUACUGGGCGUAAAGCGCGCGUAGGUGGUUUGAUAAGCUAGCUGUGAAAGCCCCGGGCUCAACCUGGGAACUGCAGUUAGAACUGUCUGACUAGAGUACAGUAGAGGGUGGCGGAAUUUCCUGUGUAGCGGUGAAAUGCGUAGAUAUAGGAAGGAACAUCAGUGGCGAAGGCGGCCACCUGGACUGAUACUGACACUGAG